rnacentral:rRNA from 1 species
ACGAACGCUGGCGGCGUGCUUAACACAUGCAAGUCGAACGGAAAGGCCCUGCUUGCAGGGUACUCGAGUGGCGAACGGGUGAGUAACACGUGGGUGAUCUGCCCUGCACUUCGGGAUAAGCCUGGGAAACUGGGUCUAAUACCGGAUAGGAGCCAUUUUUAGUGUGAUGGUUGGAAAGUUUUUUUCGGUGUAGGAUGAGCUCGCGGCCUAUCAGCUUGUUGGUGGGGUAAUGGCCUACCAAGGCGGCGACGGGUAGCCGGCCUGAGAGGGUGGACGGCCACAUUGGGACUGAGAUACGGCCCAGACUCCCACGGGAGGCAGCAGUGGGGAAUAUUGCACAAUGGGCGCAAGCCUGAUGCAGCGACGCCGCGUGGGGGAUGACGGCCUUCGGGUUGUAAACUCCUUUCGCUAGGGACGAAGCUUUUUGUGACGGUACCUAGAUAAGAAGCACCGGCUAACUACGUG